AUUGUGAUGCCCAGAGAGACAGGAGCCAGCUGGCAAAAACCCUCAUCAGCAGCCUCCAGAAUCUAUUUUCAUGGGCUUCAGUGGGAUUUGAAUUAGGCAUUUUAGGCUGAAGUUGCCAUCACUUGGUAUCACUAAGUGGUUCAGCUAUUCAAAAGUAUUCACUUAUGAUUCUUGUAACAGCCUUCAUAGUCAUAUUUUCCAGAGUUCAAAGCCCACGUGUGCUUUGGCUGAAGAAAGAGCACUCGUGAAUAUGUUUAUUUCUGUCUAUGGGAUGCCGCAUUAUUAAAUGAUCAUUCUCCACAUAUGCCCCCUGAUAAUACUGGUGAUGAUAGAAUAUUCUGUGGUGCUGGUAAAUGCAGCUUUCACAUCCAUAUCUUUGGGAGAUUUUGGACCUCUUUAACACUUUUCAAGGGGGAGCAGAAAUAAUUACAGUAGAUAUACAUAUGCUGAAUUUUCCUUUCCUACCUGCUUCAAAUCAGCAGAAAGCUCCUAAUUUCCUUUGCAUUCUGGCACGCUAGAAAUUAACAGAGGAAGAACACACACUGUUUUACUUUGCCAGAGACUGGCUUAUACAACAGAUUUUUACUCUGUAAGACAGAUUUUGCUGUAUUUGUGCUUUUUUCAUCUCCCCCUGAGGAGUAUUAACUCAGAGCAAUCACAAGACACCCAUCCUUGACUGCUGCUUCUUGAACUGUUAUAUCUUCUUCUUUGCUUCUUGCUUCCCUAUUUGAAGCUUUUUUAUAUUAAUAGGAAAAAGCGACAACCAAAGAAAGUCUUAAGGCUGUCUCUUUUCUGAAAAUCUUAACUACUGGAUGUGAGAAAGCUUGAAUAUUUUAAAAUCUUUUGUUCCUGUGGAAUUUGCUUUCAAAAACUGCAUCCUUCCUACUGAAAUGAAGGAAGGUAGAAUUCUCUGCAAAGUGCAGUAUUGAAAUAGGAAGACAUAUCCCCAUUUGGAAAGUGCUGAGCUACUGGGAAGCUGUAGCGUGUUUACAGACUCGGCUUUCUGAGCAAUCUCCAGAGCUUGAAGAGAUUACAGUGAUAUUUUAACAAGGCUGCUGGCAUCCAUCACCGGCUUUUACUUACUGAGAAGGUUGAAGGAUGGAAGAAUGCAAUUAUUUCCAUGUUAACUAAAUAUUAGUGGCAGAUUGUCACAAGAACUUUGGUGCUUUCAACUUCUUCAUCUCCUGCCAGGUGCACAGUCCCUCUGAUGACGCCACGAAUCUGGGAAUGAAGAACUUCUUCAAGCUGAUUGGAAAUGGCAUUGCGGAGCUGAAACUUAACUGGAGGAAAUAUAUCUCCCGAAGAAGGAAAUAUAAUGCACUUUAAAGAUCUGACUUCUGGUGAAAAAUUCAAGCCUAGAGAAAACUUGUCCGCGUUGUUCGGAAGAAUGGGUUGGACAAUUUUCUUCAGUUCCACAGGAUAUCUGAGUGCCAUGCUGAGCUUGAUCUCUGCAGCAUGCUCUGUGCUUCUCAUCUCUUCCUGAUGCACUGCAUGAUUAUCCUGAAGGGGAGGAUAAAGAAACUGGCCACCAAGAUGGUAAUCACUAGUGGAAAUGAAGAAGACAAAGGCAGUCAAGAAAAGGAAAGCAAAGAAGAAACCAUCUUGGCAAUGCUUGGAAUUAUUGGGACAAUUCUGAACCUCAUUGUGAUCAUUUUUGUGUACAUUUACACAACGUUGUAAACUAGCAGGCAUGCAAAUAGAACAGAUAAAACGGCCAUUAAGAGUGACAACAAACAUUGCUGACUAUUGACAAGUUGUUUAAUCAGAAUUGACUCUGUAUUAUAUUAACACAUCAUAAAAGCACUGCCUGCAGGCAGCGAAGGCUGAAGCACAAUUAAUUUAACAAGACUUCUUCACGCAGUAACAAGCUAAACUCUUCUGUCCUGCCCUCUUCCUUUUGCUUUGGUUUCUGGUUUGGGGGAAACAUGACUGCAAUUAUGUAAGUUGUAGCUUUGAAGAAAUCCACCUGGGUUAUGUUAUUUUAACAC
rnacentral:lncRNA from 7 species